rnacentral:lncRNA from 1 species
UUAGAGGUUCAGCAAAACAGACCAAUAGAAUAAGUACUAGGCUUCCAAAGAAUAAGUCCUGGGGUUGAUUUGCUCAACUAAAAGGCAGUGCUCCAGCAUGGCUGCAGUCACAUGACCAAAACAAGUAAAAGAGUAACAAGCAAAGUAUUCUCUCCCCUAGCAACCAAUUAUUAAUCCUAGCAACCAAUACAUUGUGAACCUAUAUGAGGUUGCUUGACAUGCUAGAAAUAGCAACUGAAUUUCCUCAAAACCCCUAUUAUCUGAAAGAAAGUCAAGACACACUACACAAUGUAGUCAGUUCCUUGUGUAGAAAAAGGUGAGGUGGUCAUGGUUGGAGCAUCUAUGAUCAUAGGACUAGCAUGGCACUAAACAACAGCAUCAACAUCCUUCAGUAAUGUACAAUUUGCUUCAGUUGAACCAGUUAGACUUUUCCAAUCUAUCUGAGGUGAUGGGUUCCAUUUGGAUUGUCUUGUUAAGGACAGCAAAAAGGUUGCCAUGGGGAACAUGAUUAAAUAUCUUUUAAUUCUAGUUUCAUUCUUUCUAAUCCCAAAAUAUAAUAUGCACACACACAAACAUACAUAUACGAAUAUACAUACUUAGGCAACUGGUCAUGGCAGGAACACCUUUGAUUAGAUGUCUGUUGAAUCAGGGCUGACCUGGGGCUAAACAAUAACAAGAACCCUAGGCCCCCCGCACUAUGCCCUAUCCUCAACAAUCAAAUACACGAUGGGCAUGGAUGGGAUCUCUAUGACUGUAGGUCUGUCCUUCAGAACCUAUUUCUUUAUUGCCCACAAGGGGCUAAACACAAGGGGCUAACGUUUCUGCCAGCUCACCGCCUUCUGUCUUUCAGAAUCCUACCUUCGGCUAAACAGCCAUUGUACACACACACACACACACACACACACACACACACAUACACACAUACACACACACACAGGGCUUGUUUAUUCAGUUAGAUAAGAGAGAAUAUAUUUCUACUACAAAUGCUGCUGCUGCUGCUGCUGCUGCUGCUGCUGCUGCCAGACUCUAUGCUUCUAGAAUACAUUUACCAUUUACUUUACAUGCAAAGUGCAUUAUGUGCAUAUGAAUGUAGGCCUGUGGAUUUAUACACAUACAUGUGUGUAUGUGUAUAUAUGUCAUUUGAGUGCAGCCAUGCUGGAGCACCACCUUUAGUCGAAGAAAUCGACCCCAGGACUUAUUCUUUGUAAGCCUUGUGCUUGUUCUAUCAGUCUCUUUUGCCAAACCACUAAGUUAUGGGGAUGUAAAUACACGGACAUCAGUUGUCAAGCGAUGGUGGGGGGACAAACACAGACACACAAACACACGAGC